rnacentral:rRNA from 1 species
GAUCAUGGCUCAAAAUGAACGCUGGCGGCGUGCCCCCCCCAUGAGGGUCGGAUGUGUCGCAAGACACAUGGCAGACGGGUGAGUAACACGUGGGAAACUUACCUCUUAGUGGCCAAUAACGCUCCGAAAGGAGCGGUAAUACCGCAUGAAACCUAUCGCUGGGAUGCGAUAGAUGAAAGCUGGGGAUCGUAAGACCUACCGCUGAAAGAGAGUCCUGCGUCUGAUUAGUUAGUUGGGGAGGUAACGGCUCACCAAGACUUCAAUCAGUAGCCGGCCUGAGAGGGCGAUCGGCCACACUGGAACUGAAACACGGUCCAAACUCCUACGGGAGGCAGCAGUGGGGAAUCUUGCGCAAUGGGCAAAAGCCUGACGCACCAACGCCGCGGGGGUGAUGAAGGUCUUCGGAUUGUAAAACCCUGUCGUUAGGAACAAAGGCAUGAAUCCUAAUACGGUUCAUGUUUGACGGUACCUAAAAAGGAAGCCCCGGCUAACUCUGUG